GUCAGGUGGAAGGGCAAGAGCCAACAUCGGAAAUUGAAGAGAAGCAGCCAAGGAAUGAGAAAGAGGAAAACUCUGAGAAAGCAGCCACACAGAAGCCAAGCGAAGGGAGGAUUUCCAAGGUGGUUGUACUACAAUCCCAGAGUCAGACCUAGAAGAAAGAUCAGUAGAACAAGACUCUACAGAACUGUUUACCAACCACAGACAUCUCACUGCAGAGACACCCAGGCCUGGUAAGAGACUGGAUGGCCUUCACAAGCGUUAGUUAAGUCAGAAGCAGUGACAAUCUGGUCAGUUUUUGUCAUACCAGAGAGCAUUCCGC
rnacentral:lncRNA from 1 species